UGACAAUGAAUAAGAGUGGUUUUUUGUUCUAAGCUUUUGUUAAUGUCUUCUUCUCUACAUGCCUUCAAGUUGAUUUAAAUCAAGGUAUUCUAACAUCUCCCUUCUUUUAUCACAUUCCAAAAAGAAACCCCAUAUCCCUCAUAAAAGAUGAAAUCUCACAAGUCACAACCCACAAAGAUGAAAUCCAGCUUCGUCACCUCACCGGCCAGCGUCCACCAACCCCUCCAUCUCCGGCUCUAGCACCGCCACACACGACGGUCACUGACUAUAGAUUUCGAUGGUGAUGGACAGAAUUGGGUCUUAGUUUUCAUCCCUAAUGGCUUUCUUGUUAUCUCUUGAAAGUCUAUUAUCCACGGACAAUACAAAAAGAAGAUUUCUUCAUUCAAUUCCAUGGAAACUUCCUUCCAAAUACUUGAGGUACACCCCCACUAAAUAAAUUAUAUUGAGCUUAAUAUAAAUUAUGUGUAAAGGAGAUUUAUUAUUAACCGAUGAAUUUGUAAAAGGAGUAAUUGUGGAAAGUUUGGUGUUGAUGACGUUAAAUUGUGAAAUGUUAAUUGGGAUUGAAAUUUGAGAUAUUAGUUAGUUAGUCUUAUUUCAAUUUGAAUUUUAGUUGAGAAUUAUUUUAAGAAAUGGGGAAUAAAAUUGAGUUUACUUAUUCAUGUUAAUAGUUGGUAGAAUCUUGAAGUACAUUAAUCAAUGUUAAAUUAAUUCCAUAUGCAAAUUGAGUUGUUAAGUGUUUGCUUUGGUUCUGUAUAGAUUGAAAUGUAGAAUGCACUUUGUUAUUGAAGAUGAAUUAAAGAUGAAUGUAGUAUUUGAGUAUAUUCAAGAAAUAAUAUCGAAGUAGUUUGUCAUUUGAAUUAUGAAUAUGAAUAUGAGUAGAAUUUGAAAUGAUAUUUGGUAAUUGAUUAAGUAUUGGUAGUUUGAACAUGAGGUAUAGAUAGUGAGUUUUGUAUAUUAUAAUGAGAUUGGUUUUGUUGAGUUGUAGUUGAUAUGUUGAUAGUGAAUCGAGGGUACAAACAUGAAUUUCAGAAUAAUUUGGUGUUUGAAUAUAUUCUAAGAAAAAAAGUGAGUUAGGAAUGUGAGAUUAAUAUGGGUAAAUUGUAUAUGAAAUGAAUAAGUAGAAAUUGAUUGUAACUUGGUGGAAUCUAAUGAUGUGUCAUUAUAUCACAAAUUCAUCUGUGAGGAGAAAAUUGUGCCUAUUUUAGGUUUUUGCUAGUAAUUUCAAAUUUUGGGUAUUCAAGUAUUUUGUUAUGAAUAGUGUGACUUGAGUGCACAUUUAGUGUGUGCAUUCAUGUGGUGACUCUUGGGAUGGAAUCCCAUAAGUAUGUCAUGAAUGGGUGUAUUAAGAUAAGUCUUGAUGAUUGUGGUUUAUGAUGAUGAUUAAAGUAUGGAUUAAUGAGGUAAUGAAGUAUGAGUUAUUCAUGGGAGUUAUGGGAUCUAAUGAAGAAGUUCAAAGGUUUAAGAUGCUCUACUAUGCAAGUCGAGCAAUACUGUCAGAAGCCUUCUGAAGUGCCGCUCGACCAGCUCGCUUGACCGAGCGAGCUUCAGAAUGGGUCGAGCAAGCAGACAGAAUGCAACCAGAAACUUCCUGUAGUCCGCUCGACCGAGCGAGCCUCUGCUUUGAACGAGCGAUGUCUCUGAUGCUCCUAGGAUGCUGUUUUUGACUCAAGUUCUUGGGGAUGUUUCAUUAUCAUUUAUUCAUAGCUUUAAUAUACUUAAUGUUACUUAGUAUGAUCUCUCCUAUAAAUAGAGAGCUUUCAUUCACAUUGUAAAUAUCCACAAAAAUAUACCCCAAGCCAAACACUAGCCUAUAUCUCUUCUCUAUUGUAAUUCUUCAUAUUUGAGAGUUCUUUGAACUCCUUUGAUAAUAUAAGAGAUACUACACAUCGGAGGGCGUAGCCUAAGUUGGGUAAACCUCGUUAAAUCUUUGUGUCGUUUUAUUGCUUUACUUUCUCCUACAAACAUCGAUAUCAUUGAUAGCGUAAUUUAUUUGUCACUAAACCUCAUACAUUCGAUCUUGGCAAUAUAAGAGUUUGAAACACAUUGUUCGAACUCUAAUACAUCAUCGUUUUCAUAUUUGAUUCUAAAUCUUAAUAUUGAUUGUAUUAAAUUAAAGGAGUGUUUUAGUAGUGUUGAUAUUAGUUACUUUAAUGAUCAAAGGUAUUGGUGAAAGUAAAUAAGAUAUAAGAAUUAGUUGAAUCAUAGUUUAAAUAAAAAGUUGUUGUUUAUAAAAUCAAAGUUAAGCAAAUCUUAUUAGCUAGUUAAGCCAAAUCUAUUGUUGGGUUGCUAUAAUUGAAAUGGUUAGAUUUUUUACUCAAAUAUCUAAUAGUUACGAGAAAAGAAUGUAAAGGUAUGUAUUUUCCCUUUGGCUGAGAUUGGUUUGAAUACAGAGAGAUGUUCUUCCAAAAUAGAAAGUUGUUUUUCGAACCUUAAAAUCAUAGAAUAGUUACAGAAAAGUUGUAGAUGGUUUAAUGUUUUGAAACGGUUGAGAUUACCUUUUUGGUGUCUCAAGGAAUUGGAACAUCGUCGGGAUUAUCUCGACACUACAUCAUAGUUUGGGGGUACGUUGAUCAGUACCUCGGACUUGGACCUUUUGCUACGGUUUAGUCGUUUGUGGGGUGUGCACACUAGGGAUCUUUGUCUAAUAGUUAUUCGGAGGGGAAAAGAAAGUUCGUUCCAUUUCAUAGAUUUAUGAAUUAAAGACUCUAAAAGGAAAAGUCUUAGUAAAGAAAAUAGAAAAGAAAGAUAUAUCCAUUUCAUAGAUUGAUGAUUUGAAGAUUUUGAAAGGAAAUAUUUUAGCAAAGAAAAUGAAAAGUUUUUUUAUUUACGAAUACAAAACAAAAAAAAGAAAAUGAUUUUUGUAAAGUAUUGAUAAAGUAGCGUGUUUGCAAAAGAAAAUGUUUUAUAGGAUGUAAUCAACGUAUCCUACUUGCAUGUGUAGUUGGCUUAUAAUAUGGAAUGUAGUUCAACCUAUUUGGCUGCAGGUAAAUGAAGGUUGGAAUCAAGGCAGAGAGCAACAUCUACUCAUUUUGUGUAAAUAUAGUUAUUAUGUUUUCUUUUCGCUAUAGUUUUAUGUAUAAUUAGUAUUUUAAUUGUGUUGUGAAGGAAAUUAAGCUAUGUUAUAUCAUAUAUGUGUACUUAGCAUAAGCUGACUGUGUGGUAUUGUUAUUUGAACUUGUCGUGGUGAGGGACGGAUUUUGAAAUCAUUGAAGUCAAUGGUAGCUGAAAGUAUAAAGAUCAGUAAUCAACAAAACAGUCUCAACAAAUCAUAUAAAAGAAUCCGGUAGUUUUUGGGUUGUUACAAAAUGCCUAAAGAAUUUCAUCAAUUGAUUCAAGAUUUGGAAGCGGAGUUAUUCCCUGGUUGUAAGACUUAUAAGAGGCUAGAGUUUAUUUGGUGCUUUUGGAUUAAUUUUUUACCCACUGAAGUUAAGUUUCAAGGUUAAUGGUGUAAUGCUGAAAAGAACUCAAAUUAAAUGUAUACACAUAACCAUAAUAUUUUUUGUAAUAUUUUUGUAACUCGAACUUUUACGAAAAGAACUCAAAUUAUAUGUAUACACAUGUACAAGUAAAUUACUUGCUCUUUUGUAUAAUUGGCAAUAUAUUAUUAUUAUUAUUAAUA